rnacentral:lncRNA from 1 species
ACCUCAUGCCUCCCAGGGCCCCUGAAUGCUCACACCAUCACCCUUGCCUUGCUCAGCCUCUCCUGCCAACCCAGGAUACAUAGUACAUUGGAGACUAGUAUGGCCUAUAGUAUGAGACCCUAUUCCAAAGAAGGAGAAGAAUUCAAUAACCUGAACAGCCUCUAAAACUCUCAGAAACCUGAGGCAGGAGGAUCACAAGAUUGAAGCCAAUCUAGGUUUUAUAGCAAGACCUAAAGAAGGGAGAAUAAAAGAAGAAUCAGAUGUACUGGGAGUCCCAGCCCCUCUCAUCUUCUCCCACUACAGGAAUGGCCCUGUUCCUGGCAGUAACAGGAAGCUCGCCUAGAACAUCAGAGGGAAGCACAGCAUCCCAGGUUCACUAGGAAACAACUGAGGUGCCCAUUGUGGCCACCAGGCCUAGGUCCUACCACCACAGAGCCUGGGAAGAGACUUAUGCUGGGAACCAGCUGGGAGCUGGAGUGAGGAACACCUAGGUCAGGUACUCUACUUCCGUCCAACUUCCCCAGAGAGAACGUCUUGCACUCUGCCGAGGCAAACUUCCAUUCACAUUACAGUUUUGUCAAGCAAAAUCUCCUUUGCUUACUGUGAAAUCCCUGCCUUUCUUUUCCGUGCUUCCAGCCCGUGGAUCUCAGUCACCUCUUAAAUAAUUCAUAAUACCUGUCACCCAAGGCUAGGAGCCACAGCAGAGGAGUGAAGGCCAAAUCCCUUGUGGAUGAUGAAUCUCUCUCCUGCUCCCAUGCGGAAUCUCUGUGACACCCAGAAGAGACGUUUAAGAAUUCCAUAAGCUUGAUGAGCUGUGUAAAAGCAGCAGCUGUGUUUAUUAUCAAUUAUUAUUAUUAUUAUUAUUUGCUUAGAAAAUGAAAGGCAAACGGUCUAAGACUAAAAGAUCGACUGUUAAGGGCCAUGCAGCACCUAUAAAUGGAGUGUGUUUAUCCCAGCAAAAAUAGACAGAGCAAUUGUAUGUUACAAAGGUCCCAGAGGUGGGACCCAGAGGAAAGGGUUUACUGGCUCACUCAUUCCAGUCAUCCUCUAUCACUGGAGGAAGUCAGAGCAGGAACUCAAGCAGGAACCUGGAGGCAGGAGCUGAAGUCCAAAGAAAGCCCGCUUCCUGGCUGCCCUCCGUGUCUUGCUCAGCUUCCUUUUUAGAGAACCCAGGACAUGUGAUACUGAGGAGCCCCACCCCCAGGACUAGGAGGCAUGAUGGCAGAUGGAGUGUGUGUGUGUGUGUGUGUGUGUGUGUGUGUGUGUGUGUGUGUCCAGGAGAAAGCUAUAACAACCUGUCACAGUGAAUCAGUAAAGGGAAAAUCAGCUGUUCUUGACAGCCUAGCUCAUGUCCCAGGCCUGGGCCCCUCCCAGGAGUGGGGCCAGGUACUCUGGCACAUCUCCUCUGUUCUGAACCUGCAUCCUGACUGCUCCCACACAGACUGUGACUCAUCAGUCAGUCCAUCCAGAGACAGUGGUCCAGAACUUCCCUGUGGAACAUGGAAGAGGCCACAUUUCUUAGUUGUUGCCAGGCAAACCAGGACAGAUGACUACCCUACCCUUAUGGGAGAGCCUUCUGGUGCCAUACCACGAUGUUGAUAGAGUUCCUAGACAAAAAAACUGCACAUGGUGGCCACCUGCAGUCUGAAGGGAGAUGCUGUAACCUUCCUGACAGCUUUGCAGACACCUCUGCCUUCCAAAUCUCUCACUGUUAGAGUACUGAGCAGGCGCAUAGCAGCGUUGGAGGGGGAGCUUGAGGUGUGGGAUGAGCAGGCUGGGCCAGCUGAGUGGGCUGAGGGAAGAAGGGGAGAGGCAGGGACUGAGGUGUGAGCUGGUAGCAGGCAGGCUCCUCCAGUAUAUUACUCAUGUGUGUGCCCUUGGCAAGGGGAAGGAAACACUGGCACACUGUGCACCCACAUGAGACGACACAAGUCACUUCCUCUCACAUGCUGCCUGCCGUAGUAGGUGACUGAGGGAGCUACACUUCAGAAAUAUGAAGUCUUUCCAUGAUGUCUGUAAACAGCUGAGACUAUCCAGAAAGGGGAAUGAAGCUAUAGAUAAUAGCCUCUUGAGUGGCCUGCAGCCUCCUGGCUUCUGUAGGCAGUAGUAGGCUGGGAUGGGAUGCUGGAAUCCAAUGUGAUGGUAGAUGGGAAGGGCUAGGAUGGGGCGGGAUAGAGUGAGGUGGGGUGGGGUGGGAUGAAGAUGGACACCUUCUGGCUGGCCUGGAGUUUGGGGCAAAGACUGUUUUGUUUAUUAGGAAGAUGAGACAAGAAGCAGAAAUCUCAGCAGACAGGACAGAGCCCCCACGCAGGGAAGUUUGGUCCCAAGUGUGCCCGCAUUACCGAGCCUGUCUGUGGUUUGUAGUGUAGCAUCCCUUCUGUGAACCACAGAUAAAGGAUGGAAACUCAGCUGCAUAUGAGAUGAUGUGAGGGAAAGGUGUCUGACUGACUGGAAAGUGCUGGACAGAUGCCAGAUGCUUCAUGGCUACCUCAGCCACAGGUCAGAGGCCACAGGUCACAGGUAACAGAGGGGUGUUUAUCACACAGCCCUGGCCACUGCUGUGUCUCCAUGUGGCUGCAGUGAGAUGGUCUUGCACAAUAGUUUUCAGCAAGCUGACUUCUGAGAACAGCUUCUACAACACCCUCUCCUCAGGCUCCACAGUUUCCAAGGCCCAGUCUGGCAGGAGUGACCUAGCUACACCCUGUCAGCCUAUCAUCAGGAUUCUUCUGGGACAUUUUGGUUUCCUUGUGUUUUCUAAUAUUGUCAGAUAUCCAGUCUUACAUUGGGGCCGUUGCAUGGGCUUGCUGCAUAUGCAAAGAACAAAAAAAUCUUAUUGUCAGUGCCAGUGGAUUGGUGAACGUGCUUGGCGCUUUACUUCAGGAAACAGGAAGUCAUUUUCCUUCCUGCUAGAUUCAGAUAAACCUGAAAUAAAGAAAAAUGAUAGAUAUUAGGAUACUUUAAUUGCUUUGUGCAUCUCUGUUACAUAAGAAGUAGGCUCUGUACUUUAAAAUGGGUUUCCUGCUUGGCAUGAUGUCUAGCCUGUGUUCCAAGGGACAGAGGGGUAGGAGUCACGAACUCUGGCCAUGAGUAGAAAGAAUGGACGAGUGAUGGGUGACUCUCCCCGCUAGAUUAGUGGUGGUGGAGGGGGGUGGGGACAGGGAACGUGACCAGUGAUUUAAAAGUGCUUUCUGCAGUAAGCUUAAAGUCUGUAAAAUGUAAGCUGUGUGAGGCGUGUGUGGCAUCCUGGGACCGCUGCUGCUGUACACUUCAAAAAUGGCUAAUGAUGUCACAACUGUUUUCACAAAAAUAGAAUCAAAUCCAGGAGACAGGACUCAGCUCAGUCUGCAGUUUGUAGCUGUUGGAUGCUGGCCUUUCCCUCACAACAUCAUUAUGACAGUCAUAAGGAAGGGGAGGCCAAGGCAUUGAGCUCUUUGCCACACACCCCGGACCCACCAACCCAGGGAGUGGGCAUGCAAACAGGAGUGUUUCUAAAGGACAUCAGUGGGCCUUUGUUAACUCCUUCAUGGAGAAACAUGCAUAACCUCUGUGCUGCUUCAUACAUGUGUAAGCAUGUACUAUCCAUGUCCUCAAGUCCACUACACGCACACCCUCCUUCCAAAGAAGGACAAAUGAGGGCAUGAAGACCACACAGUCAGGGUGCCAGAGAUGAACUCGGGCUCCCCAAACAAUCCAGGUGACCUCUCUCUCCUUCAUCUGUCAAGAGGGAUGGUUGAAAUAGGACCUUCACACCAACCAGCUUCAAUAAAUCUAUUAACGUCUCUCA